rnacentral:lncRNA from 1 species
UUCAAAGAUAUCUUUUUUUUGCAUGGGAAGCCUGUAGGGAAUGUAUGAGCUACUAUUUAGAAACGACAUUAAGGUUAAGAGUUUUCCAUAUAAACAAGUUUGAAAGGUGAAAGUCAUUUUAAAGAUAUCUUUUUUGUAUGAGAGACUUGUAGGGAAUGUACGAGCUACGGUCUGCAGUGUAUAGCAUAUUGGGGAUUAACAGAGUGGUGGCGGGGUCAGUUAGAGAGGAGUUAGGGGCUUGGGAGUAUCUAAAUGAGAGCUGUAUGUUUGUUGAUAUGAUUCCACUUACCAUUAUGUGGUCUGUAUGGAAGGAAAAGAAUAAUAGGACUUUUGAGGG